GAACUAGAAUUAACCUGCCUUACAAGCAGGGGGUCACUGGUUCGAACCCAGUAGUUCCCA
rnacentral:tRNA from 1 species